UACGUAGGUGACAAGCGUUGUCCGGAUUUACUGGGCGUAAAGAGCGCGCAGGCGGUCGUUCAAGUCGAGUGUGAAAGCCCCCGGUUCAACUGGGGAGGGUCAUUCGAUACUGAUCGACUCGAAGGCAGGAGAGGGUAGUGGAAUUCCCGGUGUAGUGGUGAAAUGCGUAGAUAUCGGGAGGAACACCAGUGGCGAAGGCGACUACCUGGCCUGUUCUUGACGCUGAGGCGCGAAAGCUAGGGGAGCAAACGGG
rnacentral:rRNA from 1 species